CAGCCGCCGCGGGAAUACGAAGGGGGCUAGCGUUGUUCGGAAUCACUGGGCGUAAAGCGCACGUAGGCGGAUUGUUAAGUCGGGGGUGAAAUCCUGAGGCUCAACCUCAGAACUGCCUUCGAUACUGGCAUUCUCGAGUCCGGAAGAGGUUGGUGGAACAGCUAGUGUAGAGGUGAAAUUCGUAGAUAUUAGCUAGAACACCAGUGGCGAAGGCGGCCAACUGGUCCGGUACUGACGCUGAGGUGCGAAAGCGUGGGGAGCAAACAGGAUUAGAUACCCCAGUAGUCCCUGUCUCUUAUAA
rnacentral:rRNA from 1 species